AUUGAACGCUGGCGGCAGGCCUAACACAUGCAAGUCGAACGAGUGGCGGACGGGUGAGUAAUGUCUGGGAAACUGCCCGAUGGAGGGGGAUAACUACUGGAAACGUUAGCUAAUACCGCAUACCAUCGGAUGUGCCCAGAUGGGCUUAGCUUGUAGGUGGGGUAACGGCUCACCUAGGCGACGAUCCCUAGCGGGUCUGGGAGGAUGACCAGCAAAACUGGAACGGAGAAACGGUCCAGAAUCCUACGGGAGGCAGCAGUGGGGAAUAUUGCACAAGGGGCGAAAGCCUGAUGCAGCCAUGCCGCGGGUAUGAAGAAGGCCUUCGGGUUGUAAAGUACUUUCAGAGAGGAGGCGGUAAUCGCAGAAGAAGCAACGGCUAACUCCGUGCCAGCAGCCGCGGUAAUUC
rnacentral:rRNA from 1 species